rnacentral:rRNA from 1 species
AGCUCCAAUAGCGUAUAUUAAAGUUGUUGCAGUUAAAAAGCUCGUAGUUGGAUUUGGGACUGGAGUCGUUCGGUCGGCCGCAAGGUCUGUUACUGAACGGCUCUGUCAUCACAUUCCCAGAGACCUGCCGUGUACUUAACUGUGUGCGGUACGGGAUUUGGGACGUUUACUUUGAAAAAAUCAGAGUGUUUCAAGCAGGCAGCUCGCUUUUGCAUGGAUUAGCAUGGGAUAAUGAAAUAGGACUUUGGUGCUAUUUUGUUGGUUUCGAACACCGAAGUAAUGAUUAACAGGGACAGUCAGGGGCACUCGUAUUCCGCCGAGAGAGGUGAAAUUCUCAGACCAGCGGAAGACGCACCACUGCGAAAGCAUUUGCCAGGGAUGUUUUCACUGAUCAAGAACG